UACGUAGGGUGCGAGCGUCGUCCGGAAUUAUUGGGCGUAAAGAGCUUGUAGGCGGUUUGUCGCGUCUGCUGUGAAAUCUCAAGGCUCAACCUUGAGCUUGCAGUGGGUACGGGCAGACUAGAGUGUGGUAGGGGAGACUGGAAUUCCUGGUGUAGCGGUGAAAUGCGCAGAUAUCAGGAGGAACACCGAUGGCGAAGGCAGGUCUCUGGGCCACUACUGACGCUGAGAAGCGAAAGCAUGGGGAGCGAACAGG
rnacentral:rRNA from 1 species